rnacentral:rRNA from 1 species
UAAGCGACUAAGCGUACACGGUGGAUGCCCUGGCAGUCAGAGGCGAUGAAGGACGUGCUAAUCUGCGAUAAGCGUCGGUAAGGUGAUAUGAACCGUUAUAACCGGCGAUUUCCGAAUGGGGAAACCCAGUGUGUUUCGACACACUAUCAUUAACUGAAUCCAUAGGUUAAUGAGGCGAACCGGGGGAACUGAAACAUCUAAGUACCCCGAGGAAAAGAAAUCAACCGAGAUUCCCCCAGUAGCGGCGAGCGAACGGGGAGCAGCCCAGAGCCUGAAUCAGUGUGUGUGUUAGUGGAAGCGUCUGGAAAGGCGCGCGAUACAGGGUGACAGCCCCGUACACAAAAAUGCACAUGCUGUGAGCUCGAUGAGUAGGGCGGGACACGUGGUAUCCUGUCUGAAUAUGGGGGGACCAUCCUCCAAGGCUAAAUACUCCUGACUGACCGAUAGUGAACCAGUACCGUGAGGGAAAGGCGAAAAGAACCCCGGCGAGGGGAGUGAAAAAGAACCUGAAACCGUGUACGUACAAGCAGUGGGAGCCUCUUUAUGGGGUGACUGCGUACCUUUUGUAUAAUGGGUCAGCGACUUAUAUUCUGUAGCAAGGUUAACCGAAUAGGGGAGCCGAAGGGAAACCGAGUCUUAACUGGGCGUUAAGUUGCAGGAUAUAGACCCGAAACCCGGUGAUCUAGCCAUGGGCAGGUUGAAGGUUGGGUAACACUAACUGGAGGACCGAACCGACUAAUGUUGAAAAAUUAGCGGAUGACUUGUGGCUGGGGGUGAAAGGCCAAUCAAACCGGGAGAUAGCUGGUUCUCCCCGAAAGCUAUUUAGGUAGCGCCUCGUGAAUUCAUCUCCGGGGGUAGAGCACUGUUUCGGCAAGGGGGUCAUCCCGACUUACCAACCCGAUGCAAACUGCGAAUACCGGAGAAUGUUAUCACGGGAGACACUCGGCGGGUGCUAACGUCCGUCGUGAAGAGGGAAACAACCCAGACCGCCAGCUAAGGUCCCAAAGUCAUGGUUAAGUGGGAAACGAUGUGGGAAGGCCCAGACAGCCAGGAUGUUGGCUUAGAAGCAGCCAUCAUUUAAAGAAAGCGUAAUAGCUCACUGGUCGAGUCGGCCUGCGCGGAAGAUGUAACGGGGCUAAACCAUGCACCGAAGCUGCGGCAGCGACACUAUGUGUUGUUGGGUAGGGGAGCGUUCUGUAAGCCUGUGAAGGUGUACUGUGAGGUAUGCUGGAGGUAUCAGAAGUGCGAAUGCUGACAUAAGUAACGAUAAAGCGGGUGAAAAGCCCGCUCGCCGGAAGACCAAGGGUUCCUGUCCAACGUUAAUCGGGGCAGGGUGAGUCGACCCCUAAGGCGAGGCCGAAAGGCGUAGUCGAUGGGAAACAGGUUAAUAUUCCUGUACUUGGUGUUACUGCGAAGGGGGGACGGAGAAGGCUAUGUUGGCCGGGCGACGGUUGUCCCGGUUUAAGCGUGUAGGCUGGUUUUCCAGGCAAAUCCGGAAAAUCAAGGCUGAGGCGUGAUGACGAGGCACUACGGUGCUGAAGCAACAAAUGCCCUGCUUCCAGGAAAAGCCUCUAAGCAUCAGGUAACAUCAAAUCGUACCCCAAACCGACACAGGUGGUCAGGUAGAGAAUACCAAGGCGCUUGAGAGAACUCGGGUGAAGGAACUAGGCAAAAUGGUGCCGUAACUUCGGGAGAAGGCACGCUGAUAUGUAGGUGAAGUGAUUUACUCAUGGAGCUGAAAUCAGUCGAAGAUACCAGCUGGCUGCAACUGUUUAUUAAAAACACAGCACUGUGCAAACACGAAAGUGGACGUAUACGGUGUGACGCCUGCCCGGUGCCGGAAGGUUAAUUGAUGGGGUCAGCGCAAGCGAAGCUCUUGAUCGAAGCCCCGGUAAACGGCGGCCGUAACUAUAACGGUCCUAAGGUAGCGAAAUUCCUUGUCGGGUAAGUUCCGACCUGCACGAAUGGCGUAAUGAUGGCCAGGCUGUCUCCACCCGAGACUCAGUGAAAUUGAACUCGCUGUGAAGAUGCAGUGUACCCGCGGCAAGACGGAAAGACCCCGUGAACCUUUACUAUAGCUUGACACUGAACAUUGAGCCUUGAUGUGUAGGAUAGGUGGGAGGCUUUGAAGUGUGGACGCCAGUCUGCAUGGAGCCGACCUUGAAAUACCACCCUUUAAUGUUUGAUGUUCUAACGUGGACCCGUGAUCCGGGUUGCGGACAGUGUCUGGUGGGUAGUUUGACUGGGGCGGUCUCCUCCUAAAGAGUAACGGAGGAGCACGAAGGUUGGCUAAUCCUGGUCGGACAUCAGGAGGUUAGUGCAAUGGCAUAAGCCAGCUUGACUGCGAGCGUGACGGCGCGAGCAGGUGCGAAAGCAGGUCAUAGUGAUCCGGUGGUUCUGAAUGGAAGGGCCAUCGCUCAACGGAUAAAAGGUACUCCGGGGAUAACAGGCUGAUACCGCCCAAGAGUUCAUAUCGACGGCGGUGUUUGGCACCUCGAUGUCGGCUCAUCACAUCCUGGGGCUGAAGUAGGUCCCAAGGGUAUGGCUGUUCGCCAUUUAAAGUGGUACGCGAGCUGGGUUUAGAACGUCGUGAGACAGUUCGGUCCCUAUCUGCCGUGGGCGCUGGAGAACUGAGGGGGGCUGCUCCUAGUACGAGAGGACCGGAGUGGACGCAUCACUGGUGUUCGGGUUGUCAUGCCAAUGGCACUGCCCGGUAGCUAAAUGCGGAAGAGAUAAGUGCUGAAAGCAUCUAAGCACGAAACUUGCCCCGAGAUGAGUUCUCCCUGACUCCUUGAGAGUCCUGAAGGAACGUUGAAGACGACGACGUUGAUAGGCCGGGUGUGUAAGCGCAGCGAUGCGUUGAGCUAACCGGUACUAAUGAACCGUGAGGCUUAACCU